CCUCUAGGUGUAGUUAUUGUGUGAUCAAAUUCCUCUAUCGAGAAUCCCGACAAGAUGCAGGUCAUAGAAUCUCAUCAAACCCUAAGCAUCUGUCAUAUGCCAGACUUAAUUAGCUCGAGUCUAAUCAUGAAUCUCAUAAAUUUUUUUUUCUAUAAUCACACUGCUGUGGCUACAGACUUAUGGACUCAGCCUCUUAAGUCGUAUAGGACUAUUCCUCAACUACCAAGGCUGAU
rnacentral:lncRNA from 1 species